AGCGAACGCUGGCGGCAGGCCUAAUACAUGCAAGUCGAGCGCACCUUCGGGUGAGCGGCGGACGGGUGAGUAACGCGUGGGAACGUGCCCUUUGGUACGGGAUAACUGAGGGAAACUUCAGCUAAUACCGUAUGUGCCCUACGGGGGAAAGAUUUAUCGCCAUUGGAGCGGCCCGCGUUGGAUUAGGUAGUUGGUGAGGUAAAGGCUCACCAAGCCUACGAUCCAUAGCUGGUCUGAGAGGAUGAUCAGCCACACUGGGACUGAGACACGGCCCAGACUCCUACGGGAGGCAGCAGUAGGGAAUCUUGCGCAAUGGGCGAAAGCCUGACGCAGCCAUGCCGCGUGAAUGAUGAAGGUCUUAGGAUUGUAAAAUUCUUUCACCGGGGAAGAUAAUGACGGUACCCGGAGAAGAAGCCCCGGCUAACUUCGUGCCAGCAGCCGCCGCAGUAA
rnacentral:rRNA from 1 species